rnacentral:misc_RNA from 1 species
UACGUAGGGUGCAAGCGUGAAUCGGAAUUACUGGGCGUAAAGGGUGCGCAGGCGGCCCCGCAUGUCAGGCGUGAAAUCCCCGGGCUCAACUCGGGAAUGGCGCUUGAAACUACGGGGCUGGAGUGUGGCAGAGGGAGGUGGAAUUCCACGUGUAGCGGUGAAAUGCGUAGAGAUGUGGAGGAACACCGAUGGCGAAGGCAGCCUCCUGGGCCAACACUGACGAUCAUGCACGAAAGCGUGGGGAGCAAACCGG